GUGGGGAAUAUUCCGCAAUGGGCGCAAGCCUGACGGAGCAACGCCGCGUGAAUGAAGACGGUCUUCGGAUUGUAAAGUUCUGUCAUUAGGGACGAAGGACUCAUGUAAAUAAUAUGAGGAAUGACGGUACCUAAGGAGGAAGCUCCGGCUAACUACGUGCCAGCAGCCGCGGUAAUACGAAGGGAGCAAGCGUUGUCCGGAAUUACUGGGCGUAAAGGGCGCGUAGGCGGAUAAUUAAGUCAGAUGUGAAAUCUCCAGGCUUAACUUGGAGCGUGCAUUUGAAACUGGUUAUCUUGAGGGCAGGAGAGGAAAGUGGAAUUCCUAGUGUAGCGGUGAAAUGCGUAGAUAUUAGGAGGAACACCAGUGGCGAAGGCGACUUUCUGGACUGAACCUGACGCUGAGGCGCGAAAGCAUGGGGAGCGAACGGGAUUAGAAACCCUGGUAGUCC
rnacentral:rRNA from 1 species